UUUGCUCUCUAAACAGGGGUCAAUACAGCACCUUAGUGCUUUUUUGUACAGCAUUUUGGUCAGCUUAAACUGUGUUUAAAUAUGCUCUAGAAAUAAACUUUACUUACUUACUUUACAAGAGACCGGGUUUAGAGAGCAAUUCUCAACAAAGUAAACGGAAGUACAUAACCCUUGUGUUGUCCUCUGGGUCACCGGGACCCGGAGGACAACACAAGGGUU